UGGGGAAUAUUGCACAAUGGGGGGAAACCCUGAUGCAGCGACGCCGCGUGAGCGAUGAAGUAUUUCGGUAUGUAAAGCUCUAUCAGCAGGGAAGAAAAUGACGGUACCUGACUAAGAAGCCCCGGCUAACUACGUGCCAGCAGCCGCGGUAAUACGUAGGGGGCAAGCGUUAUCCGGAUUUACUGGGUGUAAAGGGAGCGUAGACGGCGUACAAGCCAGAUGUGAAAGCUCGGGGCUCAACCCCGGGACUGCAUUUGGAACUGUAGUGCUGGAGUGUCGGAGAGGCAGGCGGAAUUCCUAGUGUAGCGGUGAAAUGCGUAGAUAUUAGGAGGAACACCAGUAAAAAAGGCGAAGGCGGCCUGCUGGACGAUGACUGACGUUGAGGCUCGAAAGCGUGGGGAGCAAACAGGAUUAGAUACCC
rnacentral:rRNA from 1 species